UACGAAGGGGGCUAGCGUUGCUCGGAAUCACUGGGCGUAAAGCGCACGUAGGCGGAUCUUUAAGUCAGGGGUGAAAUCCUGGAGCUCAACUCCAGAACUGCCUUUGAUACUGGGGAUCUCGAGUCCGGAAGAGGUGAGUGGAACUCCGAGUGUAGAGGUGAAAUUCGUAGAUAUUCGGAAGAACACCAGUGGCGAAGGCGGCUCACUGGACCGGCAUUGACGCUGAGGUGCGAAAGCGUGGGGAGCAAACAGGG
rnacentral:rRNA from 1 species